ACUGCAACCGGCCUCAGAGGAGGGCUGGUCACAGUGUAAAGAUCUCGGAAGGCAGGAACAUCCUCGAGGAGACCAAGUAGAGCCUCCCUCACAUUAGAGAAAAAGGCCUGGCUGCCGUGUGCUCCUCAGCCAAGCUACAGCCAAGCAUCCCUCUGGGAUACACUUAUAUGACGGCCCAGUGCACUGAACAUCACAGGAAAGAAUCAGGAAUGGUUCCUUCUCAUUUUUGAUGUUUGGGCCUUUGGAAGCUGGAAAGAGACUUUGCUGGGAGCUGUCUGAAGAAACAGUGAGGGGUGGUGAGGGGGAGAUGAGAGCACAGAGAGGAUAUUGGUGAGACAGACAGAGACAUGUGGAGGGGAGGGAAGCCAGAAAAGAGGAGGCUGCUCCCCCGGGGUGGUUUUGCAUUGUUGACUGCAUACCUUUUACAUUGAAGUCCCCUGGGAGCCACAGGUGCAUCCCAGCUGCACCCAAGCAAGUCUAAUUCAGAACUAGAUUCCCUAGCAGUCUCCUCUCUAGAUCUUAGAUGAUAAUCCCAGGAGAAGAAAGAGUGGAAGAUUCCACAGAAAUGUUUCACUUUUGAAGUUCCUCUUAAAGAAAAGCAAUCACCUUUGUCUCCGCAUCUCCACUAGCCCUUCCUCUUUUCUGAGUUUCUUCUUGGUCACCAACAUGCGUUUAAGGCACUUCAAGGAAAUUUCUGGAUCUCUGGGCUUUGAGGAGUUUCGGCAUCAAACCAUCUGCCCCCUUUCCACACAGAACAGAAGAAAGGCAGUGUGCAGGCCCAGAUUCUCUGCUCUGUGGUUUGAAAUGUUUCCAGGGAAAGCACGAACACUCCCAAGAACCCUAAGUUUACUUAUCACUGGCAGAGAAACAGAACCUGGCAGACAAAGCAAAACCACGAUCCUGGGCUAUGUGGGCUAACUGUGAAGAAAGCGGGGUUGGAAAGCAAGUCUCAAGAGGCUCGGCAACGCUGACUGAUGGACUCUUUUCAGGCAAAAGUGUGGCAGUCUUGCUGAAGAGAGAAUGCCGACUCUGGUUCAUUUCAAUUUCCUUCCAUUUCUCCAUGAAUCAAAAUCAUUUUCACUUCAUUGAGUUUUGAUGAUAAUCUGGUGAUGAGCUACUCAUUUGCCAGAAUUUUCUAAUUAGCACAGAAAGGAAAGGAAUCUUCAACAUGGUUUGUCUCAUUUGCUUUCCUCUAAGGCAGAGGUCAUAAAUUUAUGCAGUUGGCUACCUUAUCCGUGGUUUUUUGGUUUUAUUUCACUUGGUAGAGGGAAGAAAAAAAAUGAGGUCUCCAGAUCUGACCCAGGCUCACAAAUUUAUACUGGGCCUAAUUCUUACCACUCUAAAAGGAAAUAUGUGCUCAAAAUAAUAAGCACAUAUUAGUUUACUGUUCUGUGAGUCAGUGAUCUGGCCUGAGAUCAUUGGACAGUUCUUCUGGUGGUAUCAUCUAGACUUAGGAAUACAGCUGCUGUUGGCUAAAGGACUGACUGGAAUCUGGUCGUCUAUGGUGGACUCAUUCACACAUCUGGUGGUUGAUGCUGGCACUUAGUUGGGACCAUGUAGGUAAUUGAUCCAUACAUCUUUGACCAGCCAGCCCAGCUUACUCAUAUGAUAGAGUUCACAGGGGUCCCAGAGAUCCCUGAGGACCAAGAGAGGACAACCUCAGUGCGGAAGUACUUCUCAAGUUUCUGCUUCUACUAUGUUUUCUAAUAGCCCACUGCUUAAAGCAAGUCACAAGGUCAAGACCAGAUUCAAGGGGUGGAAAAACAGACUCCAUACCUGGAUAGGAACUGU
ensembl:lncRNA